rnacentral:lncRNA from 10 species
UGAUCUCCAGCCUUUCCAUCCCUGGAGAAAGGAGAAACAGGAAAGUGGUAGCUACCCAGAAGACAUCAUGAGGACCCUCAUUGUCACUGGGGAGAAGGGUUUGAUCUGAGCAAGGUGUUCAGAAUGGAUGACUACCAGGCUGCCUGGCAUUGGGAUAGAACACAAGUAGCUAAUUAUAGGACACAUGCGCUGUAAAUGAGUUUUGUUUUGCUUUGCUUUCAAUGUUUGAAAGUUGUUGUUUUUGAGACAUUGCCAUGAUUUUGGAUACAGAUUUCAUAUAAAAAUUUAGAUUUCCAUCUUUUGUUUCAAAAUUAGAUCUGGUGACAAUGUCCUGGCAUCCUGGCACUCCAACAUGCCACGGUCUUGUUAUACGAACAGGGAACUGCAUCUUGCAGCACAUCAGAAUCAUCUGGGAGCAGGAGAACCCUUCUGACCAUGAAAGCAAUUUAUUUCCCAGAACCAAUCCAGAAGAGGCCACUUCUACUGAUCCUGACCAAGUCAAGAGCUGGGCUUGUGGUGGGCUGAACUGUGUCUUUUCAGCCCAGAGCUGGUCAGAGUAAGCCUAGGCUGCCUAGACCUUGCCAUCCCCAAACCCAAAUUUCAUUUCCCUAGCUAUAAAGUGCAGGACCUAUUCAACUUAUUUUAGCUGCUGUACAAUUCUUUAAUUUCAAGGAAAGGACAGGAAAGCUAUGUGAGUUCAGAGCCAUUACCCCAUUCACCUGGCAUUUCCAGUGCCUACACAGUGCCUGGCACAUAGCAGCACACUAUAAAGAUUUGCUGGUUAUGAGUAAAUGAAUGAAUGAAUCAAUGAACAAGCAAACAAUACAUGCAUAGGAAUAGAAAUUCCCCAGACAUGAAAAAACUUGGGCCAGCCUCUCUCCCAUUCUUUGCAGGGUUCUGCUACAGGUAUGUAAUUGUUUAUUGAGAGAGAUGCAGGGCUAAUACUGCUUAGAGUCCAAUUCUGAUUCCCCUAUAUUCUAUUUGUUUGAUUUUGAUAAGUUCUUGGAUAUGCAUGAGCUUCAGUUGCUGCAUGUGUAAAAUGGGAUAAUAAUAGUUCCUAUAUCACAGCGCAUGAAAAAACACUUGGCAUACUGCCUGACACACGAUAGACGCUUGAAUGUUAUCUAUGCUCAGUAUUCAUAGAAAGGGUUUGUUUUCCUGUAUGUGUAUCUGUAUCAUCCAUAUCUAUUUUUAGUUAUUGACCAGUCAUAAAGCUCAGGGUUAAGCAAUUGCUGUGUUUAUCAAACAAAUAUCUACAGACCAUCUCUGGCUCCCUUUAGAACUCUAUUUGCCCAACUUAUUUUCAGCUCUGAAAGAGUUACAGUCCACGUUUUAAGUGUUACAUUAACACUUUCUUUUUGGUUACCAGAGUUACAGCUUAUCAACAGCUCUCUUAAAUUUUCCAUGCCUGUUUUCUAUCACUUGUCUCCCGGAACCAUCCACUUGGCAAAGCUCUCGGCUCCCUCUCUCUCUGUAUUUCUCCCCUCUCCAUCAUCUGAUGUUGUGUCUGUCUCCUCUGUUGUUUUCUGUUCUUCCCAGGUUCUCCUACCUCUUUGGCAGAAAUAGCAAAUGGUUUUCAUCUCAUGCAUCAGCUCAGAUAGCCUGGAGAGCUACAUUGAGACUUCUCAGGCCACAUCUAGGGUCGGUGAGAAAGAGCAUCAUGAUUGAUUAGCAAUGUCUGCCACUGUCACGAGAGGGAAGGUAGGGUUGUGUGUAGUAGCCAUUUGCCAUCCUUAUUUGGGCAAAAGAAACACUGUGACUCGUCAUUUUACAGCUUUACUACAAAUCUUAGCAGAAGAUCAAACACUGGCUGAAAUACAAAGUUAAAUCAUCUGAUACAGUGUACCACAAUUUGGACAGGUGCUAAAAAAUGAUUUCUUCUAAUCUCUCUCUCAUAGCCAGAGGGAACAUCUAUAUCCCUCUGUCUUUGGGAAGCUGGGCAUCCUCGGUGAAGAAUGUUCUUCCUUCUUUCUAGAAAGCACAAGCUACAACAGAAAGAUUGUUCCAGCCCUAAUAGUAAACCUGCUAAGAAAAUUCAGGGAUCAGUUUGGGUAGGAAAGAAGCCAGGCUAAGUGAAGGUGAGUGUGGCCUGUGUGGUAAGGCUGACAUCCACUGACCUAAGGCCAGUCCUGACACCUGCUUGCUCGCCUCCUAAGAACCCUGAAUAAGGCCACCUGAUCUUAGCCCCUUUUGUCUCCUUGUUUCAAGAGGAGGUACCUGGGUCAGGGUUAACUUGUGAACAGAGGGCUUAGAAGUGUCCAUGGCAGGGUGUUAAUGCUUGUAUUACAUUUGCUCGGCAUCUUGCCUGUGCUAAGCCAGGGGCUCAUGUCAGAUUCAGGAACUGCCUCCUUCUUCUGCUCCCAUGCUUAGAAGAGACACAGAUUAAGCCCUUGCCAUGUUUCUAUAUCCUGCCCCGGCCCAUGCUCCCAUGCCCAAACCUCAAGGUUCUCUUGCUCAGAAAACUCUCCUCUGUGCAGAGCCACAGAGCCAGCAAGUCCACCUCUGUGCUCGGCCAGACAGCCCUUGUUCCAAGCCACCACCCUGAGCCCUGCCUGUCAAUAGUUACAACCUUGUUGAUGAUGGCAGCUGCCGCGAGUGUCCUUUAUAGUCUGUUAGACCUUGGGCAAGCUUCUCAACCUCUCUGUGCUCAGUUUCCUCAUCUAGAAGGUAGAGAUUAUACUAACAGUACAUACUUUGUAAGCUUGUUUUAAAGACUAGAGGAGUUGGCCAGGUGCGGUGGCUCACGCCUGUAAUCUCAGCACUUUGGGAGACUAAGGCAGGUGGAACACGAG